UCCGGGGUGGUGAAAUAGGUAAACACGCACGACCGUUUAUCGUGUGCUUAAUAGGCUUGAAGGUUCGAUUCCUUCUCCCGGAGCCA
rnacentral:tRNA from 1 species